rnacentral:rRNA from 1 species
AACGUAGGUGGCAAGCGUUAUCCGGAAUUACUGGGCGUAAAGCGUGCGCAGGCGGUUAUGUAAGACAGAUGUGAAAUGCCCGGGCUUAACCUGGGAACUGCAUUUGUGACUGCAUGGCUAGAGUUUGGCAGAGGGGGGUAGAAUUCCACGUGUAGCAGUGAAAUGCGUAGAUAUGUGGAGGAACACCGAUGGCGAAGGCAGCCCCCUGGGUCAAGACUGACGCUCAUGCACGAAAGCGUGGGGAGCAAACAGG